CUGUCCGCGGGCCGCCCUCGGUGCAGCCGUCCCGAGUCCUGACGCGGGCGGUGGGGUCCUCGCGCCCGCGCGGCCUCUGACCGGAGCCACUGGGUCGCAGGGCCGCGCCGGGUCCGCCCUGGGCAGGCUGAGGUGUGCCGGGCGGCGCGGCGUCCUGACGGGCGGGGCGGCCCGGAGCUGCGGAGCCGGGUGGACAGGUGGGCGUGGACAGCGCGACCGGCGGAGCUGGCCCGCCAUCCUGCCGCGGCCCUGACCCCCGGGGUGCGCUGGCUGUUGGGGUCAAAUCCGAGCUGACCUUUCUCCCGAGGAAAGAUAAAUUAUUAUGGUUGUGUGUGAGCGUCAGUGCAAAUGUUUUCCGAGUCCUCCUCCGGCUCCGGGUGCUGUUUGAAUCCCCCGCAUUCCUCAGCCCUGGGCAGGGAGCGGCCGCGGCCUUUGUGUCUCCGGGGAGCGCACGCCACCUCGGAAGAGACAGCGAACCAGAGUUAAAGAACAGGAGAGACAUUAGCGUCACACUUCCGCUCAGAUGAGCCUGUCUCCACUCCAACACUGACCAUGCAUGUUGUAAGAGGAACAACACUGGCCAACAGCCACAGUUCUCAGAGUCCCCAGCGCCCGACCAGUCUCCAACUCUGAGCCAAGCUGGGAUCACAGCCAAGCCAGCCUUUCCUCUGCUGUCACUUAUCUACUGACUUUUCUGUGAAUGCUUGAUUUAAGAGGCUCAUCUCUUUGACCCUGGUAUGUUUUCACUCCUGCACUUCUCCAGCUUCAUGCCUCCACAGUUACCAGAUGAAAUGCUGACCUCCUCUGUCGUUCACAGCUUCAACUUUGCACUGCUGAGCUCAGAGAAUUUCACUUUCCACCCCGUAAAAUACGCAGAGCCACAUGACUUGUUCUGGUCAAUGAGCCAUGAAGAACCAGUGUGUCACUUCUGGUGUCCUGCCCUUUCUAACCUUGCUACAGUGACUGGAAAAAGAGGCAAGAAGGAUUGGAGAUGUCACAACGCCCAGGAACGAGGGCUCUGCCACUGCCACAGGACAAUGGCUCUGGAGGGCCAAUGAGUCCCCACAGUGAUAUUUACAGAAAAUGAUUUUGUUUUUAUAAUAAGCCCAGAAUUGAGAUUUGGGAUUCCUUCUUGAAGCAAGAUAAUGUGGCCCAUCUAGACCCAAAGAUCUCCAUGGACCCAGCGGAAGUGCCCUCUGCCACUCAGGAGCCCCCACCUGCCCCUCCUACAGAAACCCAGAGCUUUUUGUCUCUUUUUCUUAGAAAUUGUAUCUCAGAAUGAUGGAACCAA